UCUACAUCUACCAUUCUUUCCUUAUGAUUUCGACUGCAUGCUUUGCCCACAAUAUCAGUCCGAUUUAGUUCUCUCCUGUCAGUUUCUCUUUUGUAAUGGCAGGCUUCACCAUUGUCCACUCCCUGUUCAACACCCACUCGUUCUCUGUCCAACAUCAUUCACUCGCUCACACCCUUAUUCUCUAUUCACACCCUUAUCCCCCAUUCUUUUCACUAUAGGUUGUCGAAAUCGAAGCGUUUUGGCGCGUUUUUGGUUUUUGGUCUACUCAUCUACUCUAGUCUAGUCUCUAUAAGUGUUUCAGUCGAAAAGCAUGCAUCAUGCACCACAUUUCGCAUAGGUACCAGUGAAAAGUGAAAAGUUCCAGUUCUCUUUACAGUGCUUCAGUCAUUUAUUAGUUUCAAAAUAACGUGAAUAUUUGAUCUUCUCCUAUCAAAAAAUGGAAAUGUUUGCGAUUGGCAAUGUAUGGAGAAUGAUUAUAAUGAUGCUACAGAGUAAUAUCGAAAAAAGAGAUGAGCAAAAAAGUGGAAGCAUACAUUAAUUAUUCAUAAUGCAUAUCUCAGCAACAACAAAAAAUUGAAUUGCUAGAAGAAAACUCGGGACACAUUGGAUCAAAUGUGAAUAAAACUUUCAAAGGUGUCUGCCAAAGAAAUUUCUAAGAGAUGGUCAAUGAGUCUGUCAUUGGAGAAGUCAACGAUUGGCUCCUGCAACCGAAAUUUAGAAGAGCGCGCAGACAUGGAGAAAAGAAGAAACAUCUCGCUGUCUGUUGAAGUCGAUGAAGACGAGACAGUAGAGGAUUUUGGAGCUUCAGCCAUGAAGUGCAAGCACAGUGUCUAAACACUUUUUGAGCCUGAUUAUAAUAUUAUAUUGAGAAAAUUUAAUUCCAAUCCAGUAAUAUACUAUAUAAGAUGUGAAUGCGUUCAAGUAAAGGAUUUAUUAAUUAA